UUAUUUCAAUUAAAACAGUAUAUUCUCUUUAUAGUUUAUGAUUAGACUGGUAUAAAAAAAAUUUAAUGUAGUAUUCUGAAGUAAGCAACAGCCAUGGGGAAAGUACCAAAUAGCAAUGAAAUGCUUCAUAAAAAAGUGGCAGGUAAUUUGAGAGUUCAAAAGGAAAAUGAUUUGAGAUGUUCGAAGAUGGACUUCCAUCAAUUUCUCAGGUGCAAUGAUCAGAAAAGUUUUGUUACCUUAACAAUUUUCCAAUACUCUUUGCUGAAUACCUUAGCUAGACUCAAAUCAAACUAUCCAACCCAAGAGGUGCUACCAACAACUAGCUAGGAACUAGGAAGGAUGACGCGAAAGAAACAUAAGCCGUUUGGAACACUGUAAUUGUCUGCAUACUCUGUAUAUUCUGGACAAUCUUAAAGGAAUAACAACUGAUGGAUUGCGGAACCAUCAAUAUGAAA